rnacentral:rRNA from 1 species
AACGGGGCUAAACCAUGCACCGAAGCUGCGGCAGCGACACUAUGUGUUGUUGGGUAGGGGAGCGUUCUGUAAGCCUGUGAAGGUGACCUGUGAGGGUUGCUGGAGGUAUCAGAAGUGCGAAUGCUGACAUAAGUAACGAUAAAGCGGGUGAAAAGCCCGCUCGCCGGAAGACCAAGGGUUCCUGUCCAACGUUAAUCGGGGCAGGGUGAGUCGACCCCUAAGGCGAGGCCGAAAGGCGUAGUCGAUGGGAAACAGGUUAAUAUUCCUGUACUUGGUGUUACUGCGAAGGGGGGACGGAGAAGGCUAUGUUAGCCGGGCGACGGUUGUCCCGGUUUAAGCAUGUAGGCUGGUUGUCCAGGCAAAUCCGGAUAAUCAAGGCUGAGGUGUGAUGACGAGGCACUACGGUGCUGAAGUAACAAAUGCCCUGCUU